rnacentral:rRNA from 1 species
CUACGGGCCGCUCCAGUGGGGAAUAUUGGACAAUGGGGGAAACCCUGAUCCAGCAAUGCCGCGUGUGUGAAGAAGGCCUGCGGGUUGUAAAGCACUUUCGGUUGGGAGGACUGCUUCUAGCACUAAUAUUGUUGGAAGUUGACGUUACCUUCAGAAGAAGCACCGGCUAACUCCGUGCCAGCGAGCCGCGGUAAUACGGAGGGUGCAAGCGUUAAUCGGAAUUACUGGGCGUAAAGCGCGCGUAGGCGGCUAGAUCAGUCGGGUGUGAAAGCCCCGGGCUUAACCUGGGAACUGCAUCCGAUACUGUCUAGCUUGAGUACAGGAGAGGAGAGUGGAAUUCCACAUGUAGCGGUGAAAUGCGUAGAUAUGUGGAGGAACACCAAUGGCGAAGGCAGCUCUCUGGCCUGAUACUGACGCUGAGGUGCGAAGGCGUGGGGAGCAAACAGGAUUAGAUACCCGCGUAGUC